rnacentral:tRNA from 1 species
UUCGGCGUUGAGCUGAUCGGUGGUUUCGAGCUGGAAGCUCGACAGUUCCAUCACGUACAGUUCGAUGUCGUCGCUGAGC